rnacentral:rRNA from 1 species
GCACGGAGUUAGCCGCGCUGCUUAUUCCUCUGGUACCUUCAAGGCAGGAAGAAUCCCGCUUUUUAUUCCCAGAGAAAGAAGUUUACAACCCAUAGGGCCUUAAUCCUUCACGCGGGAUGGCUGGAUCAGGCUUGCGCCCAUUGUCCAAUAUUCCCUA